rnacentral:rRNA from 1 species
UCAGGUAGGACUAUCUUGGUCACUUAGAGGAAGUAAAAGUCGUAACAAGGUCUCCGUUGGUGAACCAGCGGAGGGAUCAUUAUCGAGUUAUUCAACUCCCAAACCCUAUGUGAACUUACCACUAGUUGCUUCGGCGCGCGCUUCGGCGCCGCCGAGGACACUUAAACUCUUUGUUUUUAUGAGCAUUUCUGAGUGGCCGAAAGGCAAAAAUACAAAUGAAUCAAAACUUUCAACAACGGAUCUCUUGGUUCUGGCAUCGAUGAAGAACGCAGCGAAAUGCGAUAAGUAAUGUGAAUUGCAGAAUUCAGUGAAUCAUCGAAUCUUUGAACGCACAUUGCGCCCGCCAGCAUUCUGGCGGGCAUGCCUGUUCGAGCGUCAUUUCAACCCUCGAGCCCGACUCUUUUGAGGACGGCUCGGCGUUGGGGGACGGCAGACUCCCCCCGGCAUCUCGCCGGGGACGCCGCCCCCGAAAUCUAGUGGCGGCCCUCCGAGGCGACCUCUGCGUAGUAACUUGUUCUCGCACCGGAAAGCUCAGAGCGGCCACGCCGUAAAACCCCAACUUUUUUCAGGUUGACCUCGAAUCAGGUAGGACUA